GUUGAACGCUGGCGGCAGGCCUAACACAUGCAAGUCGAACGGUAACAGGAAGAAGCUUGCUUCUUUGCUGACGAGUGGCGGACGGGUGAGUAAUGUCUGGGAAACUGCCUGAUGGAGGGGGAUAACUACUGGAAACGGUAGCUAAUACCGCAUAACGUCGCAAGCCCAAAGAGGGGGACCUUCGGGCCUCUUGCCAUCGGCUGUGCCCAGAUGGGAUUAGCUAGUAGGUGGGGUAACGGCUCACCUAGGCGACGAUCCCUAGCUGGUCUGAGAGGAUGACCAGCCACACUGGAACUGAGACACGGUCCAGACUCCUACGGGAGGCAGCAGUGGGGAAUAUUGCACAAUGGGCGCAAGCCUGAUGCAGCCAUGCCGCGUGUAUGAAGAAGGCCUUCGGGUUGUAAAGUACUUUCAGCGGGGAGGAAGGGAGUAAAGUUAAUACCUUUGCUCAUUGACGUUACCCGCAGAAGAAGCACCGGCUAACUCCGUG
rnacentral:rRNA from 1 species